rnacentral:rRNA from 1 species
UGGGGAAUAUUGGACAAUGGGCGAAAGCCUGAUCCAGCAAUACCGCGUGUGUGAAGAAGGCCUGAGGGUUGUAAAGCACUUUCAAUAGGAAGGAAUACCUGCCGGCUAAUACCCGGUAGACUGACAUUACCUAUACAAGAAGCACCGGCUAACUCCGUGCCAGCAGCCGCGGUAAUACGGAGGGUGCAAGCGUUAAUCGGAAUUACUGGGCGUAAAGCGUGCGUAGGCGGUUAUUUAAGUCAGAUGUGAAAGCCCCGGGCUUAACCUGGGAACUGCAUUUGAUACUGGAUGACUAGAGUUGAGUAGAGGAGAGUGGAAUUUCAGGUGUAGCGGUGAAAUGCGUAGAGAUCUGAAGGAACACCAGUGGCGAAGGCGGCUCUCUGGACUCAAACUGACGCUGAGGUACGAAAGCGUGGGUAGCAAACAGGAUUAGAUACCCUGGUAGUCCACGCCGUAAACGAUGUCAACUAACCGUUGGGUUCUUAAAGAACUUAGUGGUGGAGCUAACGUAUUAAGUUGACCGCCUGGGGAGUACGGCCGCAAGGCUA